rnacentral:rRNA from 1 species
AUUGAACGCUGGCGGCAGGCCUAACACAUGCAAGUCGAACGAGUGGCGGACGGGUGAGUAAUGUCUGGGACACUGCCUGAUGGAGGGGGAUACCUACUGGAAACGGUAGCUAAUACCGCAUACCAUCAGAUGUGCCCAGAUGGGAUUAGCUGGUUGGUGGGGUAAAGGCUCACCAAGGCGACGAUCCCUAGAUGGUCUGAGAGGAUGACCAGCCACACUGGAACUGAGACACGGUCAAGAUGCAUACGGGAGGCAGCAGUGGGGAAUAUUGCACAAUGGGCGCAAGCCUGAUGCAGCCAUGCCGCGUGUAUGAAGAAGGCCUUCGGGUUGUAAAGUACUUUCAGCGGGGAGGCGUUACCCGCAGAAGAAGCACCGGCUAACUCCGUGCCAGCAGCCGCGGUAAUAU